rnacentral:rRNA from 1 species
CACGUAGGGGGCGAGCGUUAUUCGGAAUUAUUGGGCGUAAAGGGCGCGUAGGCGGCUAGACAAGUCAGGGGUGAAAUCCCUCAGCUCAACCGAGGAACUGCCUUUGAAACUGUCUGGCUUGAGGCCGGGAGAGGGUGGUGGAAUUCCCAGUGUAGCGGUGAAAUGCGUAGAUAUUGGGAGGAACACCAGUAGCGAAGGCGGCCACCUGGCCCGGUUCUGACGCUGAGGCUCGAAAGUGUGGGGAGCAAACAGG